AUUGAACGCUGGCGGCAGGCCUAACACAUGCAAGUCGAACGGUAACAGGAAGAAGCUUGCUUCUUUGCUGACGAGUGGCGGACGGGUGAGUAAUGUCUGGGAAACUGCCUGAUGGAGGGGGAUAACUACUGGAAACGGUAGCUAAUACCGCAUAACGUCGCAAGACCAAAGAGGGGGACCUUCGGGCCUCUUGCCAUCGGAUGUGCCCCGAUGGGAUUAGCUAGUAGGUGGGGUAACGGCUCACCUAGGCGACGAUCCCUAGCUGGUCUGAGAGUGUGACCAGCCACACUGGAACUGAGACACGGUGCAGACUCCUACGAGAGGCAGCAGUGGGGAAUAUUGCACAAUGGGCGCAAGCCUGAUGCAGCCAUGCCGCGUGUAUGAAGAAGGCCUUCGGGUUGUAAAGUACUUUCAGCGGGGAGGAAGGGAGUAAAGUUAAUACCUUUGCUCAUUGACGUUACCCGCAGAAGAAGCACCGGCUAACUCCGUGCCAGCCGCCGCGGUAA
rnacentral:rRNA from 1 species